rnacentral:rRNA from 1 species
CUGGCUCAGAUUGAACGCUGGCGGCAGGCCUAAUAACAUGCAAGUCGAACGGUAACAUAGGAAAAGCUUGCUUUCCUGAUGACGAGUGGCGGACGGGUGAGUAAUAUUGGGAAGCUACCUGAUAGAGGGGGACAACAGUUGGAAACGACUGCUAAUACCGCAUACAGCCUGAGGGUGAAAGCAGCGAUGCGCUAUCAGAUGCGCCCAAAUGGGAUUAGCUAGUAGGUGAGGUAAAGGCUCACCUAGGCGACGAUCUCUAGCUGGUCUGAGAGGAUGAUCAGCCACAUUGGGACUGAGACACGGCCCAGACUCCUACGGGAGGCAGCAGUAGGGAAUAUUGCACAAUGGAGGAAACUCUGAUGCAGCCAUGCCGCGUGUGUGAAGAAGGCCUUCGGGUUGUAAAGCACUUUCGGAGGGGAGGAGAAUGACGUUACCCUCAGAAGAAGCACCGGCUAACUCCGUGCCAGCAGCGGC